rnacentral:rRNA from 1 species
AGAUUGAACGCUGGCGGCAGGCCUAACACAUGCAAGUCGAACGGUAACAGGAAGCAGCUUGCUGCUUCGCUGACGAGUGGCGGACGGGUGAGUAAUGUCUGGGAAACUGCCUGAUGGAGGGGGAUAACUACUGGAAACGGUGGCUAAUACCGCAUAACGUCGCAGGACCAAAGAGGGGGACCUUCGGGCCUCUUGCCAUCAGAUGUGCCCAGAUGGGAUUAGCUUGUUGGUGAGGUAACGGCUCACCAAGGCGACGAUCCCUAGCUGGUCUGAGAGGAUGACCAGCCACACUGGAACUGAGACACGGUCCAGACUCCUACGGGAGGCAGCAGUGGGGAAUAUUGCACAAUGGGCGCAAGCCUGAUGCAGCCAUGCCGCGUGUAUGAAGAAGGCCUUCGGGUUGUAAAGUACUUUCAGCGGGGAGGAAGGUGUUGUGGUUAAUAACCGCAGCAAUUGACGUUACCCGCAGAAGAAGCACCGGCUAACUCCGUGCCAGCAGCCGCGGUAAUACGGAGGGUGCAAGCGUUAAUCG